rnacentral:rRNA from 1 species
GAUGAACGCUGGCGGCGUGCCUAAUACAUGCAAGUCGAGCGAACAGACGAGGAGCUUGCUCCUCUGACGUUAGCGGCGGACGGGUGAGUAACACGUGGAUAACCUACCUAAAAGACUGGGAUAACUUCGGGAAACCGGAGCUAAUACCGGAUAAUAUAUUGAACCACAUGGUUCAAUAGUGAAAGACGGUUUUGCUGUCACUUAUCGAUGGAUCCGCGCCGCAUUAGCUAGUUGGUAAGGUAACGGCUUACCAAGGCAACGAUGCGUAGCCGACCUGAGAGGGUGAUCGGCCACACUGGAACUGAGACACGGUCCAGACUCCUACGGGAGGCAGCAGUAGGGAAUCUUCCGCAAUGGGCGAAAGCCUGACGGAGCAACGCCGCGUGAGUGAUGAAGGUCUUCGGAUCGUAAAACUCUGUUAUUAGGGAAGAACAAAUGUGUAAGUAACUAUGCACGUCUUGACGGUACCUAAUCAGAAAGCCACGGCUAACUACGUG